GUAAAGAGCAAAGGGCGCAAGGUGGAUGCCUAAGCACCAAAUGGCGAUGAAGGACGUGGCGAACUGCGAAAAGCCUCGGGGAGCUGUAAGCGAGCUUUGAUCCGGGGAUAUCCGAAUGGGGAAACCUGUCAGGAGUGAAAUCUUGACAUCUCCGUAAGGGGAGGCGAACCUGGUGAACUGAAACAUCUUAGUAGCCAGAGGAAGAGGAAGUAACAACGAUUCUCUGAGUAGUGGCGAGCGAAAGGGGAUUAGCCUAAACCGGCGCAGAGUCGGGGUAGAGGGACGGCGAGGUCUGGUAAUUACUUAUAGGCGAACCGAUCUGGAAAGGUCGACCGUAGAGGGUGAUAGUCCUGUAGUUGAAAUAGGUAAUUAUUGGUAGUCGGAUCCCGAGUAGCCUGGGGCACGAGGAAUCCUGGGUGAAUCAGCGAGGACCAUCUCGUAAGGCUAAAUACAUUUGGUGACUGAUAGCGUAGCAGUACCGUGAGGGAAAGGUGAAAAGGACCCCGGGAGGGGAGUGAAAUAGAACCUGAAACCUUGUGCCUACAAGCGGUCAGAGCUGGUAGCGUAAGUUACUGGUGAUGGCGUGCCUUUUGCAUAAUGAGCCGACGAGUUAAUGUUUUAAGCGAGGUUAAGUGUUACAGGCACGUAGCCGUAGCGAAAGCGAGUCGUAAAUAGGCGUGAUAGUUUAAGGCAUUAGACCCGAAACCGGGUGAUCUACUCCUGGUCAGGCUGAAGGUUGGGUAAAACCAGCUGGAGGGCCGCACCAACCGUCGUUGAAAAGGCGGUGGAUGAACUGGGGGUAGGGGUGAAAGGCCAAUCAAACCCGGAGAUAGCUGGUUCUCUUCGAAACAUAUUUAGGUAUGGCCUCAGGAGAGAUUAAUAGAGGUAGAGCACUGAAUGGGCUAGGGGGCUUAUAGGCUUACUGAACCCAAUCAAACUCCGAAUGCUAUUAAUUGAUUUCUGGGAGACAGGGCGUGGGGGAUAAGCUUCACGUGCGAGAGGGGAAGAACCCAGACUGUCAGCUAAGGUCCUUAAAUAGGUGUUAAGUGCUAAAGGAUGUGCAAUUGCAGAGACAGCCAGGAUCUUGGCUUAGAAGCAGCCAUGAUUUAAAGAGUGCGUAACAGCUCACUGGUCGAGUGGUAGUGCACCGAAGAUAAUCGGGACUUAAGCAUCUUACCGAAGCUGCGGAGUAGCCAUAGAUUUAAUUUUUGGAUAAAACUGAGGAUUAGAUAGGUUACUGGUAGGAGAGCAUUGUGUAUACGGAGAAGGUAUACUGGGAGGUAUGCUGGAGUGUACACAAGAGACCAUGUCGGCAUGAGUAACGAUAAUGCGGGUGAGAAACCCGCACACCACAAGCCCGAGGAUUCCUGAGUAAAGAUAAUCUUCUCAGGGUUAGUCGGUCCCUAAGGUAUAGCGAUGAGGCGAAGCUGAAGGGAAUCAGGUUAAUAUUCCUGAACCUUUGCAUAAUGCGAUGGAGUGACGCGAUGGUGCGGCAGGGACGGCUGUUGGAAUAGCCGUUGAAUGCGUGUAGGAGGUGAUGCAGGCAAAUCCACAUCACAGGGACUCCGAGGCGUAGGACGAGGCGUAAGCCAUAAAGUCUGCUUAGAUACAUUGCCGAGAAAUAGCUUCUAAGCGUCAGUUAUGCAGAGACCGUACCGCAAACCGACACAGGUGGGCGAGGAGAAUAUCCUAAGGUGUUCGAGCGAACUCUGGUUAAGGAACUAGGCAAAAUGGCCCCGUAACUUCGGGAGAAGGGGUACCCCGUUAUGGUGAAGGAGCACAUCUGGAGCCAGAGGGGGUCGCAGUGAAGAGGCCCAAGCGACUGUUUACCAAAAACACAGGUCUAUGCGAAGGCGAAAGCCACGGUAUAUAGACUGACACCUGCCCGGUGCCGGAAGGUUAAGUGGAGAGGUUAUCCUAACUGGGAACAGUUAGGAGAAGCUUCGAAACGAAGCCCCGGUAAACGGCGGCCGUAACUAUAACGGUCCUAAGGUAGCGAAAUUCCUUGUCGGGUAAGUUCCGACCUGCACGAAUGGUGUAACGAUUUGG
rnacentral:rRNA from 1 species